ensembl:lncRNA
AUGAACUUCAUCAAGAUCUUGCAGCCUAGAGAGCUGACAGGCAGUAGCUGGCCAGAUGCUUCCUAUGUGUCCUGUAUGUUCUCUGAAGUUUUGUCUGGCAUUCAGUGAAGGCCAACACACACUUGAGAGGAAAAAAUGUGCUAUCAGUGGAUAGCACUGACAUCUUCUCAGUAAGGAAUGCAAACAAAAAUGACAUUCCUUCCUGUACAAACCAGUCCCAGGAUGGAAGCAACAUUAAAAGCCAGAAUCUCUCCUCUUGUAAUGUCUAAUAGCAAUGUCUAAUUCUGGAUGUUCAAAGCUAUUUCCCUUAAGGUUACCCUGUGAUGUGGAACAUGUUUUGCACAGGCGAUGCUAUGAGAGCAGUUUGGCGCACUUCGGUAUGCAGCGAGUUCCUCGGUCAGGGUUCCCCUUGGAGUUCCUCAGCAGGCACUUGAAGUGGGAGCAGCUUGCCCCAUGGGAUGUGUGCUUGGAGAUCUCGAGCUGUGGUGGAAAGGGGCCUGGAUAGACUCUAGUGGAUCUAGACCUGAUCCUGCAUCGAUGGACUACCACCAAGACCAAUGGUUUGGCAAAUACUCCAGGAUUUUAUCCAGCUUUGUUCCCUCCGUGUCAUCCCUUUAGAGGUUUUCACAGAUCACUGCAAAUGAAGGAUGAACCAUAUGAAAUACGAGACAGACAACAGAGAGUGACUGCUAUCACUGACUUUGGAAGAACUCCUGUUCUACACUCAGUAUGCAGAAGCAAACCCCAACAGCACACAGAGGCAACAUUCCUGUGUGACACCCCCAUCAUCAAGCCCAGAUGCUCUGGUGGAGCGCAGAUGUCCCACAGAGGUCCAAUCUAAUGCGCUGAAGUGACAGAGAAUCUGCUGCAUCCUCAGCAGUGUUAACCAGCAGGUACACGAGCUGCCUGGCAGAGGAGCAGACAGAACUCUCCUGGGACUGACCGCAGUGUCACUUUCCUUGAUGGGUCAUUGAGGUUUGGGUUCUGCCCUCUUCACGCAUCUCCUCUGGCUGCAGGUAAGGGUGAUGUGGUCCCACUGACUUCUGUUUGCUAAAUGUUGGGAAAGGAGGUAUGGGGAGCUGCACCCAGAGUCAGCAAUCAUAGGAUAGAGUCACAAAGUCAUGGACUUGUUUGAGUUGGAAGGGACUUUUAAAGGUCAUGUAGUCCAACCACCCUGCAAUGAACAGAGACAUCUACAGCUGCAUCAGUGUGCUCAGAGCGUGGUUGAGCCAAAUGAGACAGGAAAAAGGGGUUUUACUAUAAUAUUUAUUAUUUCUAAGAUAUAUUUUUCCUCUCCCAUAAAUUCACAGCAAUCAAUACAAUGGUUUUGGUUUUGUGGGAUUCUAUAACACAAGAUCUGGCUCCUGCAGAAGUUAAACUCGCUGGUGGUAGUUUCUGUACGCUUGUCCAAGGAGCCUCUGAGCAAGAGGCAUGAUGUCUUAGCAUAAUGAAUUUAAGCACAAACAGUUAUUAUUUCUAAAUAAGUACAUGCUAUUAAGUGCUAUCAAGCUUCUAUAGAAAAUAUGAAAACAUUGGAUGAAAAACAUUAUAAAAGGCUGAACUCUCACCUGGGAAGUAGCACAUAAUGUAAAUCAAUAGAGUUGCAUUUUUUUACUCCUUUAUUGACUCACAAACACACAGCCUGUAAGAGCCCUUCAGGAUUCUUCCCCCUUCCCAACCCUAUUUUAUUUCCAAAUACUGCUAAAGGAAUGUUUUUUCUCUCAAGGUAAUUGCAUAACUUCCUUCUGUUUCACACUCAAAAAGCACCCAUGUGAGUCAAUGAAGCACGGACCAUGUUUAGAUUAUCUCUUACCCUUCUCUAAUGAUGUUCAGCAGAUCAAUUGGUGUGAGAGUCAUUUUUUUUUUCCCCUUAUAAAGGAUCUUGAUCUUUCUCUAAGGGGAAUGACCUUGACUUGGUAGUGCAGCUAAACCAGGAAAGUUGUUUUGCUAUUCAAACUGAAUUUAGGCAAGCUAAAUAAAUAGUAGGCAUAAAAACAAAUCUCCUCCCUUAAAUGAAUGUAGGAUAUUAAGACCUGGCUUUGUCAUGAUUACAGUCUAAUACACAGCUCACUGAGAGGCACUGUUUUUUUUUAGCCUGUGUCUCUAACCUUGACUGUUCUAUUCAUCUCUGUGGAAACGCUUCCUUUUUGCGUACAUUUUGAUUGAGCACACAAAGAAUUUAAAACAUACAUGGUGUGGUCUAUCAGAGAUACCUAAAUGGCUCUUUGGAAAACAUGAAUCGUGCAUUUUUUUUUUUUUCAAUAAAACACAGAACAAGUCAGUGGCACCACAUUAAUCAUUCAAGCUGACUGGAAAGACUGCAAGCAACAGCUGAGUUUAAAACAACAACAACAACAAAAAAGAACAGAACUACAACAACAACAACAAAAAAACAACCAAAAAGGCCCACACACUUUGAAAAGAAAGAACCAACUGGGAGAGAGAUUGCUUUUUUCCCUUAAGUUUUUUUAAAAAAACAGCAACAACAAUGAAAAAAGAACAAUUGGUAGGAAACAAAUUGCACUAUAAUGGCUGGUUGGAAGGGCUGUACUUCAGCUCAGGAGAAAAGAUUUACAAAUAUGAAUUUACCUGGGGAACAUAAAACUAGGGUGAGAGCAGUUCUGAAAAGUAAUCCUUCCUCCCUCCCUCCCUAUCUUCCUUCCUUCCUCCCUCCCUUCCUUCCUGUCUGCCUCCCUCCCACGUGUCCUCCCUCCCUCCCUGCCUUCUAGCCUGUCUUCCUUCCUGUCUUCGUGUCUCCCUUCCAGCCUGCCUCUUUUCCUCUCUCCCUUCCUUCCUACAUUCCUCCCACCUGUCCUCCCUCCCUCCCUUUCCUUCCUUCAUUCCCAGCACCCUUCCUGCCUCCCUCCCUCACUCCUUCCUCCCUGCCUUCCUACCUCCCUCGCUCUCUUCCUUCCUGUCUGCCUGCCUGCCUUUCUCCCUUCCUUCCUUCCUCCCUCCCGUCCUCCCUGCCUUUUUUCCUUCCUCCCUUCCUUCGUGCUUUCCUGUCACUUUCUCUCACUCCCUCUCUUCCUUCCUUCCUCCCCUCCCUGCCUUUUUUCCUUCCUCCCUUCCUUCGUGCUUUCCUGUCACUUUCUCUCACUCCUUCUCUUCAUACCUCCCUCCCUCCCCUUCCUCCCCCCC